UUUGAUUAUUUUUGUCUCACAUUGUGAAUUGAAAAUGUUAAAACUUCAGUUGAAGAUAUGCUAAUACCAGUUUGCUCACUUUGCUGGUUUAUAAUUGGCGUUUAAGCUGGGACAGGGAACGAAAGCAGUGCAACCCGCAACACAACGCGGAUCAGAAUCCAAAAGAAAACAAGAAUAAAAUAGAAGAGAGUAACAAUUAAUGGCAGAGAUAGAUUCGUCGUUGCCUUCAGCUUCUCCACCCGCAGAUGCUUCCCCUCAGCCCCUGCCACCGCCGUCAUCGGAAUCCGCACAAUCAUCUUUGGCCUCCCUCGCUGAGAAUCUCCAGCGUUCCGCCAUCGAAUCUGCUCGCACCGUCCACCACAACUCUUCCAACCAUAUCCGCACCUUCCAGGAUUUUUUACCAGAUGCAGUAUCACAGUACAGAGAUUAUGAAAACACUUUUUUCAACAAAGUUAAAGAUGGAGUGGUGGUUGCAAGAGAGAAUCCAGCCUUAGGUGCCGGUUUUGCAAUUUCUGCUGCCCUUCUUCUUAUGCGAGGCCCAAGAAGGUUUUUGUACCGUAAUACACUGGGUCGAUUUCAGAGUGAGGAGGCGCGGUAUGCUACUGUUGAAAAGGGUGUGAGGGACUUGAACAUUUCAGUAGAUUUUAUGAAGAAGGAGAGCAAAAAAUUGCUUGAAAGGGCAGCUCUCGCUGAGAGGGAUAUGAAAUAUGGGCGUACUGAGCUAAUGAGUGCUGGAACCCAAUAUCAACAGCUGGCAAAAUCAUUAUACAAAGUUGAAGCACGAGCGAAUGAUUUGAUGGACAGGCUACGGGAGAUACCCACCCGUGAAGCUCUUGCGCUUCGAGCUGAGGUUGCCUCUCUAGCUUCAAGUUUGAAGAAGCAGAAAUUUGCUGUGGAUAAACGGAUCAUGAAAAUCUCCGAGUUAGGGGUAGCUAUAUGAAUUCAAUAAGCGUGUUUAGGACCUUACUUCGGUGCACAGCCAUCCCUGUUUGUCCCAAUUUUCUUGAACCAAAGCUGCUGUUGAUGGGGGCAGAUUGCUCUACGAAUAAUGCAGAUACUUCUAUUGGACACUGGUUUUUCUUAAAAUAAUUUACGAGUUCUGUGGGAAUCAAGGACGUGGCAAAAGUUGCGUCCGAUCGUUAUUUGAUAGCAAGCACGAGGUUAAAAUUUUUUAACAUGGUUGGUUAAUGGGGUGAAAUCCCCAAAAAUGAGGAUCAUGUGGCAUUUAUGAGAAUAUGGGAUUAAAA